AAUAUUCGGUAGUAUCACUAUUUAAUAUUAAUCUCAGAAUAAGAGUUUUGAGCUGAGACAGUUUUUUUUUUUUUUUGCUGAGUUCGCACCAUUGCACUCCAGCCUGGGCAAAAAGAUCAAAGCUCCGUCUCAAAAAAAAAAAAAAGUGCAUACCACCACACCUAAUUUUUUUAUUUUUAUUUUUUUGUAGAGAUAGGUUCUUGCUACAUUGCUCAGGUCUUUG
rnacentral:lncRNA from 1 species